CCUACGGGUGGCUGCAGUGGGGAAUAUUGGACAAUGGGGGCAACCCUGAUCCAGCCAUGCCGCGUGUGUGAAGAAGGCCCUCGGGUUGUAAAGCACUUUCAGUGAGGAAGAACGCCUGGUGGUUAAUACCCAUCAGGAAAGACAUCACUCACAGAAGAAGCACCGGCUAACUCCGUGCCAGCAGCCGCGGUAAUACGGAGGGUGCGAGCGUUAAUCGGAAUUACUGGGCGUAAAGCGCGCGUAGGUGGCUUGAUAAGCCGGUUGUGAAAGCCCCGGGCUCAACCUGGGAACGGCAUCCGGAACUGUCAAGCUAGAGUGCAGGAGAGGAAGGUAGAAUUCCCGGUGUAGCGGUGAAAUGCGUAGAGAUCGGGAGGAAUACCAGUGGCGAAGGCGGCCUUCUGGACUGACACUGACACUGAGGUGCGAAAGCGUGGGUAGCAAACAGGAUAGAUACCCUUGUAGUC
rnacentral:rRNA from 1 species